AGAGCGAACGCUGGCGGCAGGCCUAAUACAUGCAAGUCGAACGCACCUUCGGGUGAGUGGCGGACGGGUGAGUAACACGUGGGAACGUGCCUUUGGUUCGGAAUAAUCCGGGGAAACCUGGCCUAAUACCGGAUGUGCCCUUCGGGGGAAAGAUUUAUCGCCAUUAGAGCGGCCCGCGUCUGAUUAGCUUGUUGGUGGGGUAAUGGCCCACCAAGGCUACGAUCAGUAGCUGGUCUGAGAGGAUGAUCAGCCACACUGGGACUGAGACACGGCCCAGACUCCUACGGGAGGCAGCAGUAGGGAAUCUUGCGCAAUGGGCGAAAGCCUGACGCAGCCAUGCCGCGUGAAUGAUGAAGGUCUUAGGAUUGUAAAAUUCUUUCAGCGGGAAGAUAAUGACUGUACCGCAGAAGAAGCUCCGGCUAACUUCGUGCCAGCAGCCGC
rnacentral:rRNA from 1 species